rnacentral:rRNA from 1 species
GAUGAACGCUGGCGGCGUGCCUAAUACAUGCAAGUCGAGCGAACAGACGAGGAGCUUGCUCCUCUGACGUUAGCGGCGGACGGGUGAGUAACACGUGGAUAACCUACCUAUAAGACUGGGAUAACUUCGGGAAACCGGAGCUAAUACCGGAUAAUAUAUUGAACCGCAUGGUUCAAUAGUGAAAGACGGUUUUGCUGUCACUUAUAGAUGGAUCCGCGCCGCAUUAGCUAGUUGGUAAGGUAACGGCUUACCAAGGCAACGAUGCGUAGCCGACCUGAGAGGGAGAGCAGGCACAAUGGAAAUGAGACACGGGGAAGACUCAAACGGGAGGCAGAGGGGGGGGAUAUGGGACAAGGGGCGAAAGACUGAACAAGAAAUGAAGCAGGGGUGAAGAAGGGUGUCGGAUUGUAAGGCAAUUUAAGUGGGGAAGAAGGGAAGGAAGGGAAUAAAUUGAGGUGUAGCAGUCACGAAAAGAAUAAGACAAGGACAACGGAGUG